rnacentral:rRNA from 1 species
GACGAACGCUGGCGGCGUGCCUAAUACAUGCAAGUAGAACGCUGAAGGAGGAGCUUGCUCUUCUGGAUGAGUUGCGAACGGGUGAGUAACGCGUAGGUAACCUGCCUGGUAGCGGGGGAUAACUAUUGGAAACGAUAGCUAAUACCGCAUAAGAGUAGAUGUUGCAUGACAUUUGCUUAAAAGGUGCAAUUGCAUCACUACCAGAUGGACCUGCGUUGUAUUAGCUAGUUGGUGGGGUAACGGCUCACCAAGGCGACGAUACAUAGCCGACCUGAGAGGGUGAUCGGCCACACUGGGACUAAGACACGGCCCAGACUCCUACGGGAGGCAGCAGUAGGGAAUCUUCGGCAAUGGACGGAAGUCUGACCGAGCAACGCCGCGUGAGUGAAGAAGGUUUUCGGAUCGUAAAGCUCUGUUGUAAGAGAAGAACGAGUGUGAGAGUGGAAAGUUCACGCUGUGACGGUAUCUUACCAGAAAGGGACGGCUAACUACGUGC